CUCUCCCGCCGGCCCCCAUCUCCCGCCGACCGGAAGAGGCCGCGCCGCCGGAAGAGCCCGCGGGGUAGUUGGGGAGGGUGAUGGAGGACGUGUUGAUGGAGGGAGAAGGGCGGCUGGAACCAGAGGGAGGGAGGCCUGUGGGGAGGGCGGUUAUGGAGGGAGAAGACAGGCAGUGCCAGGAGAGGCUUCUACAGGAACUUCCAGAUGUUCAAGCUGGGUUUAGAAAAGGCAGAGGAAUCAGAGAUCAAAUUGCCAACAUCCGUUGGAUCAUCAAAAAAGCAAGAGAGUGCCAGAAAAACACCUGCUUUAUUGAUUAUGCCAAAGCCUUUGACUGUACAGAUCACAACAAACUGUGGAAAAUUCUUCAAGAGAUGGGAAUACCAGACCACCCCACCUGCCUCCUGAGAAAUCUGUAUGCAGGUCAAGAAGCAACAUUUAGAACUGGACAUGGAACAAAAGACUGGUUCAAAAUUGGGAAAGGAGUAUGAAAUGCUGGACUGGAUGAAGCACAAGCUGGAAUCAAGAUUGCUGAAAGAAAUAUCAAUAACCUCAGAUACGCAGAUGACACGAGAACUAAAGAGCCUUUUGAUGAAAGAGGAGAGUGAAAAAGCUGACUUAAAACUCACAUUCAAAAAACUAAGAUCAUGGCAUCUGGUCCCAUCACUUCAUGGCAUAUAGAUGGGGAAACGAUGGAAACAGUGACAGACUAUUUUCUUGGACUCCAAAAUCACUGCCGAUGGUGACUGCAGCCAUGAAAUCAAAAGACACUUGCUCCUUGGAAGAAAAGCUAUGAUCAACCUGCUGCUGCUGCUGCUAAGUUGCUUCAGUCGUGUCCGACUCUAUGCAACCCCAUAGACGGCAGCCCACCAGGCUCCCCCGUCCCUGGGAUUCUCCAGGCAAGAACACUGGAGUGGGUUGUCAUUUCCUUCUCCAGUGCAUGAAAGUGAAAAGUGAAAGUGAAGUCACUCAGUUUUGUCCUGUCCGACUCUUCGCGACCCCAUGGACUGCAGCCUACCAGGCUCCUCCGCCCGUGUGAUUUUCCAGGCAAGAGUAGACAGCACAUUUAAAAGUGGAGACAUCAUUACUUUGCCAGCAAAGGUCCAUCUAGUCAAAGCUAUGGUUUGACCAGUCAUCAUGUAUGGAUGUGAGAAUUGGACUAUAAAGAAAGCUGAGGGCCAAAGAAUUGGUGCUUUUGAACUGUGGUCACCUGAUGUGAAGAACUGACUCAUUGGGAAGACCCUGAUGCUGGAAAAGAUUGAGGGCAGGAGGAGAAGGGGGC
ensembl:lncRNA